ACGAGGAAGGGCCUUGUAUGCAUUUCUGUGGGUAGAACAAAAGUGUUCUAGAGUUUUUGCGCCCCUGGUCGCUCUCCUGAGUUAAAGUCUUCGACCACCAGAAACGCUGCCUCUGGAUCACUCUUCAAAGGCCUGUCUGUCUGUUAGAUUUAAAUCAGUAACUACCACCCGGUGGCUACAGAAGCAGUCCGAUCUCAUCCAAGGAAAGAACACGGAAGAGCACGUCAGUCCUGAUCAACUUUAACUCGCCGUAAAACGAACGUAACCGUCAAAAAGGCAACAGAUGACGUGUGACGUCCAUAGGCAGGAGCGACUUGUACCAGAUCACAGCAAAUUUGGGAAGUAUUAGUUCAGAAAUCGAUUUUAUCAUGCAGAAGAAAAAAAAAUCAUGAAGAUGAGAAAAUUAUUAUUGAUAAAAUGUAUAUUUAUUUCUUGCUGCCUGUCUGUUUAUUGUGGUCUGCCUGUUUACAGUCAUUUUUUCUGCACGUCACUGCUGGAUGGCAUCAGUAAGGUGGGGCCACAUCCUGGCCCUUAGCCUGGUUCUUCUGGCAUCUGAUGUACUUCUUUUCCAUCUCAUAGUCCCCCACAGGGAGAGAUAGUGUUCUGGCUCAUGGAGGAAGUGGAGGACAAAGACAUAUAUUUACAUAAACGGCUCUCCUGGAGGAAGCUGCUCCUCUCCUCUGGGGUGGGAGUCUGCAGCUCAGGGCUAGAUGAACGGGCCGUCUCCAUAUCUCUCCACAUGCUGGAGGCUCUCCUCUGCACAGGGGGUGAAGGAGGCACGAUCUGCCACGGGAAGUAAGGCCAGGAUGUCUCUGCUGAGUACGUCUGCAUCUCAUCGACGGACAUCCAUGGUUUCUUGGGGUAGUAGGGUUGAGAAUUCCAAGAGACAAGAGGAUCAGUGGUCAGGUCAUCUUUUCGACUAUCCAUGGACAAGGUGGACAUUGACACCCUCAGGUUCACCAGUCCAAGGAGGUUGUCCAUUGGUCCAUCGCCAAAAGACUUGUAAUCUGAUCUGGCUUCUUCUUUAGUCUGUCUCGCAUAGCUGAUAUUGUCAAAAUGUUGUACAUGGUCUGGUUUUGGGUGGGUGGUCUUCUUUCUUUUGCUGUAAAGGUGGGUAGAAUCCACAAUGUCUGUAGAGCCACCACACAUGAAAACGCUGAAGAACCACCACAAACCUCUGCUCACACCUUUUCUCUUCAUGAUAAAAUGUUUUAAAUGAGGUUCCUGUCUUCAGAAUCCAGGAAUUUGAAUUGUGUUGCCUGGGAAACUUACCACAACAAUGUUUAAUGACAUGUUUGGAAUGCCAGUAAUAUCAUUCAUUGUUAUGAUGCAAUGACAUCAUACUGUUCUAAAUUAGAAUGUUCAAUGCAAUGGCCUUCUGUGUGCUCUGCAAUGGAUAGGAUUGUCAUCUCAAAAGUGUUCAAUAUUCUAACCAAUUCAAUAUUUAUUGACUGUUUGAUCUGUUUGGGAGCUCCACUAUUAAUGACCAGUGCAACGAUUGAUCUUCUGAUUCCACUGACUGGAUCUUAAUUUCAUCACUCUUUUGUUGCUGAGUGUAUUUGUAGUGUAUUUGAGUUAUAUUUCUCGAGUGAGUUGCAAAUAUCUCUAACCAUCGCCCCUGCGUGAGUUUUUUCAUGCUCGUGAUGUCAGAAUGCUCUCAACAGGACAGUUACCCACGCUGCCCUCAAACCAAGGCACGCUGCCUGUUAAUUAUCAAUAGGCUAUGUUUCAACUUGUCAAUUUCAAAUUAUUUUCAAACAAGUUUUAUUUUCUAACAACAGUUUGAAUUGAGGUGUGUUCUGCCUCCUCGUUAAUUUGUAUAAGUAGUAGCCCAUUUCACUCUUGCGGACAAUUUAUGUUUGAGGCUUUACUGAGGAGACAAACUUCUCUCUUCCAAGUACUUCCUGAGUGUUUCCCCAGCUCAAGGAUGAAGACAUUGCGCAUCUCUAGUCAGAACAGGCAAAACAACAAACGUUUUCUCCCAAAACAUUUUCUGGCUGGCGCCCACAUUGCCUUCAUAGUUCUUUGUCUUGCAAAUUGGGCAUGUAUGCAUUCCUAUCAAAGUAAGUGGCUUAUUUUCUGUAUAUCGUGUUGUCGUUUCUGCUGUAGCACACCACAUGUACAGUUGAAGUCGGAAGUUUACAUACACCUCAGCCAAAUACAUUUAAAUUCAGUUUUCCACCAUUUCUGACAUUUAAUCCAAGAAAAAAAUCCCUGUUUUAGGUCAGUUAGGAUCACCACUUUAUUUUAAGAAUUCGAAAUGUCAGAAAAAUAGUAGAGAGAAUGAUUUAUUUCAGAAUUUCUUUCUUUCAUCAUAUUCGCAGUGGGUUAGAAGUUUAUAUACGCUCAAUUAAUAUUUGGUAGCAUUGCCUUUAAAUUGUUUAACUUGGAUCCAAUAUGACUGGGGUCAUUGUCCAUUUGGAAGACCCAUUUGCGACCAAGCUUUAACUUCCUGACUGAUGUCUUGAGAUGUUGCUUCAAUAUAUCCACAUAAUUUCCCUCCCUCAUGAUGCCAUCUAUUUUGUGAAGUACACCAGUCGCUCCUGCAGCAAAGCACCCCCACAACAUGAUGCUGCCACCCCCGUGCUUCACGGCUUGCAAGCCUCCCCCUUUUUCCUCCAAACAUAAUGAUGGUCAUGAUGGCCAAACAGUUCUAUUUUUGUUUCAUCAGACGAUCUUUGUCCCCAUGUGCCGUUGCAAACCAUAGUCUGACUAUUUUAUGGCGGUUUUGGAGCAGUGGCUUCUUGCUUGCUGUGCAGCCUUUCAGGUUAUGUCAACAUAGGACUCGUUUUAAUGUGGAUACAGACACUUUUGUACCUGUUUCCUUCAGCAUCUUCACAAGGUCCUUUUGCUGUUUUUCUGAGAUUGAUUUGCACUUUUCACACCAAAGUACGUUCAUCUCUAGGAGACAGAACAUGUCUCCAUCCUGAGCGGUAUGACGGCUGCGUGGUCCCAUGGUGUUUAUACUUACGUACAAAUUAACAUGGUACCUUCAUGCGUUUGCAAAUUGCUCCCAAGGAUGAACCAGACUUGUGGAGGUCUUCAAAUUUUUUUCUGAGGUCUUGGCUGAUUUCUUUUGAUUUUCCCAUGAUGUCAAGCAAAGAGGCACUGAGUUGAAGGUAAGCCUUAAAAUACAUCCACAGGUACACCUCCAAUUGACUCAAAUGAUGUCAAUUAGCCUAUUAAACGCUUCUAAAGCCAUGACAUAAUUUUCUGGAAUUUUCCAAGCUGUUUAAAGGCACAGUCAACUUAGCGGAUGUAAACUUCUGACCCAUUGAAAUUGUGAUACAGUGAAUUAUAAGUGAAAUAAUCUGUCUGUAAACAAUUGUUGGAAAAAUUAUUUGUGUCAUGCACAAAGUAGAUGUCCUAACCGACUUGCCAAAACUAUAGUUUGCUAACAAGAAAUUUGUGGAGUGGUUGAAAAACAAGUUUUAAUGACUCCAACCUAAGUGUAUGUAAACUUCCGACUGGAUGGAUCAUAAUGUAUUUACUGUUUUAUUUAACAUGUUUUCAAGUACUGGUGACAAAUCAUGCAUUCCGAAUCUUGCAUAGAUUGUAAUGGACACAUAUGAUGUGUGUAAAAUACUUGAAUGUUGUACUGAUUAUGAUGAGCUAAUGCUAAGCUAUUUGCUGGCUACAGUUGAAGUCGUAAACAAACAUGGCUGCCAUCAUAAACAAAUUAGCUGCUGUUAGCUUAGCUGACAUAUAUUUAUUUUCUAAACAGCAUUACAUUAGUCUCUUGUGCUCACCAGAGAUGUGAUACUUUGUAAACUAGUCUAGCUGUUAGGUCGCUAAUUUAUGUUUUUUUUUUGUCAAAGCAACCUGUUAUUUAGACUUGUUUAUGGAAUCUGGUAGUGGAUGUGAGUUUGGCUGUGGAUGUGUUCCGUGUGAUGCUUGGAUGAUGUUCGCAUUUAUCUUUUACAAUAAAAG